ACACCAAGUAUUAAUGUUUAGCAUCAACUAAAGAAAACCUCCGUUCAACCCAGUCAUCAGGAACAUAUUUCGCUGUGUUGUCUUGAGAAGAUUCCUACAAGCAAAGGCACGUGACCUAGACGAGGCAGUGGCCAUUGGUUUAAUGAUGGCUAAUAAGAUCAUUGAGAGAAGCCGCUCACAGUGUCCAAAGCCUGGAGUUAUGGAAUUUUCUUCCUUAUGGAUGCCUCCUAACCGUGCAUUCAGACCGCCGCCGGCAAGAGCUUCGAAAUUUGCUCUGGCUGCCCUGCAAACAACACUUUAGAAAGAUUCAUGGACACUCUGACGUAGACGAAAUAGGAUGCAAAGUUUGUAUGAAUGCUUGGUGACAAAAUACAAGCACAGGACUUCUAAAUUCUGAUUUGUUGCUGCCGAACCGCAUCAUAGCUCAUUACCAUAAAGUUGCCCUCGAUGCCCACACUGUCCAAGCAUACCUAAGCCAUACCUCACAUUUUCUCACAUAGAAAAUGACUUACGGUCACUUUGAUGUUCUUGCUGGCGACAGUCUGAACGCAUGGUAAGAUGACUGACAUCUUUCUCAGAGAACUGUUAAAACUGUUAUGUAGUGACGGCUAAGGGUGAGUGAAUUGAGACUGAAGAAAACUAAAGUGCACAGUGAUAUUCUAUGAGAUAUUUGAUGUGAGCAUUAAAGCAUUACAGCUGUAUAAUGAAGUACUGUAGUGCUGCAGAGAUGCCCCGGCCUACAAAUCUUGUUCUCCAGAUGUAAGAAAACAUGUUUGUUUGGUACAGACCUCAACAAAUGUCACAACAUCAUGAUUUUACUAGUUUUUUCAGUGAAAAUGAAAAUUGUGAUGCAAAAAUCAUUCCCACUAAUCAUGAAUCAUUUCGCAAUCGUAAUAUCUGUGAAAAUAAUCGCAAUAUGCUUUUUUUACCAUAUCGUGCAGCCUUAGUCUAGAGGCAUAUUCAGCGUAGCUAAGUCCUGAAUGUAGUGUGGCUGCUUAGUCCAUGAAGUUGCUGGUUUCGUGCUCAGCGUGUGUAAAUGAAACCAAGUGAGCUCAAAGUACAAACUCACAGAGUCGCUAGCAUUAUUAUGUACUGAUACACACACUGUAACAAUUUUACCAGAUAUGCGGCAGAAAGACAAUUUAUGUUGCCCAAAAGUAGAACAAACUCAAUCCACGUAUCAUAUGUUGAGCAUGUGUGAAUGGCUCUCACUCCCUCGAUAGAUUACUAAAUUGUUUCUAGUAUUAAAAUGUUAUUGAAAAGAGACUUAAAGUGAAACAAUUUUGCCUUUUAUUCUUUGCCAUCAUCUUGUGUUUUAUCUAAUGUAUACUUUGUUAUAUUGUAUGUAUAUGUGGAUGUUAUGUCAUUCUAAUUUGUUAAGUUAAUGUCUUUAUGAGUGUGGCUGUUGUAUUGUCGUUGUCAUCAUGUAAUUAUAAGUUGUGUGUAAGUGACUGAUUUGUAUUGUCACUAUGUAUAUUUUUAUAUGGACCCCAGGCUGCAAACAGACACAUUUUUUUCCACACACCUUUUUUUAAAUUGCUGUUAUUUUUACCAGUAACACCGCUCUCAAUCAAAACUGUUCUUUAUUUCCUCUCUUAAGUUAUUAUUGACACACAUAGUCUUUCAUUCCACCGAGGUGAUCUUCACUGAAAUGCUGUUUUAGGCGUUGCACAUAAUAUGUGGGACACAGGUGUCCUUAUUGUACAGGAGUCAUCUUGAUAAAUUGCUCUGACCCUGUGUGGUGCUGUGAACUUGACAAGACUGGAAAUUCUUUAGCAGCCUCCUAUGUAACAAGAAUUUCAAGGUGCCGUAAAAGGCACUUUUCAGAAUAAUAUAAGAUGUGUUGCUGUCAACAUCACUGUCAGUACAACACUUUUUCUUCCAUGACUUCUCACACAAGCAAACAAACUGGGUGAAUCUGACCCAGAGAUGCCUUUUCUAUCUUUAAAAUUAAAUUUUGAGGGUCUUCAAAUUCCCUUCUGUUGUUACUGAUAUCUGUCAAUUUGUAUUUGGA